rnacentral:lncRNA from 1 species
CUCUGAUAACUGACUCUUUGCCUGUUUUUCCCGUUUCUUGCUGUAAUUUCUGCUCUUGUUUUAAAUUCAGCAAUACCGGGUGAACCUACCCCACCCCCCACCCUAAACGCCAAUAAAAGCAGAACCCCAGAUUCUCCCCUUCUCUCUCCCUGUCCCCUCCUCCCCUGCCUCUCUCCAAACACACACACACACACACACACACACACACACACAGCCCCACUGUGUAGCCCCAUGCGUGCGCUGUGCCUUCUGGGAUCUGUGCGUAAUAAAACUUGUCCUUUCAAAGUUUCCCGUGAUUAUUGCUCAGGGAUGUUUUGCAAUCAUAGUAACAACCACAAGGGCCAGUCCAAAAUUGGCUCUGGAAAGAGCAACAGCUGUGAGCCCAGGUGAGUGCCCGAGGCAUUUCUAGCCAACAGCAUUACCAUCCCUAGGCUGAGAUCCACACAAAACCCCUCCCCAUCCAAUCCCACUGACUACCUGAUUGGCCUACCUAUAUCCAGUUAAGGUGACAAUUAGCCCAGCCUAGCUGGCCAGGUGAAUCAAGAGGGGCAGAUAAGACGGACAGGAGAUGGAGCUUGGUAUUCCAGAACCGGUAUGCCUAAUAGGUUGCAAGAAUUUCAGGAAGCAAGAAACAACUCAAACAAGUGGUCCAAACUCAGGACAAUCUACAUGCUCAUCAGGGAAAUCUGCAGAGAUGGAAAGCUUCCAUUUUCUUUGCAAUACACUGAGCAUCGGAGGCACCAAAGAUUUACUUCAAAGGAAAAUGGUGCAACAAGUCCUUUUCUGUGAUUACAACGGGAGCAUUAACACACAUUCCUCAGAACCACAUGCAGGGUUUUAUUUCCUUGGAGGUGGUAGUUUCCAGGCCCGGAGACCUGAAUCAAAAGCAUGUUAUAAGGUCAUCCAGCAAGAGACCGAUGGCCAGUGUGAGGCCUGA